GUCCACGCCCUAAACGAUGUCAACUGGUUGUUGGGGGAGUGAAAUCCCUUAGUAACGAAGCUAACGCGUGAAGUUGACCGCCUGGGGAGUACGGUCGCAAGAUUAAAACUCAAAGGAAUUGACGGGGACCCGCACAAGCGGUGGAUGAUGUGGAUUAAUUCGAUGCAACGCGAAAAACCUUCCUACCCUUGACAUGUCCGGAAUCCUGCAGAGAUGCGGGAGUGCCCGAAAGGGAUCGGAACACAGGUGCUGCAUGGCUGUCGU
rnacentral:rRNA from 1 species